rnacentral:lncRNA from 1 species
GAUGAGUAUCUCUGGGCCAGUGUCCAGAGGAUUCCCUGAAGUGCCCGGCUUACUCUUCAAAGCCAUAAGUACUAUUUCUCUGACAUGCACGCAAUUGCUAGCUCUGUCAAGUGGUAGAACUUUAAGUGUAUGUUUCCUAGGGUGCUCCAUGACCACCGUGUGAUGGGGUCCACGUGUGCUCAGUGUGCAUUUUCUGGAGCUGGAGACUUGAACUGGAUGCUACUCAAGCACUACUUGUUUGCCAAUAAGUUUGAUGUGGAUGUUGACCUUUUUGCCAUCCAAUGCUUUGAUGAGCAUCUGAGACAUAAAACUUUGAAGACAUUACAACA